rnacentral:rRNA from 1 species
UCUGAACCUUCGGGGAACGAUAACGGCGUCGAGCGGCGGACGGGUGAGUAAUGCCUGGGAAAUUGCCCUGAUGUGGGGGAUAACCAUUGGAAACGAUGGCUAAUACCGCAUAAUAGCUUCGGCUCAAAGAGGGGGACCUUCGGGCCUCUCGCGUCAGGAUAUGCCCAGGUGGGAUUAGCUAGUUGGUGAGGUAAUGGCUCACCAAGGCGACGAUCCCUAGCUGGUCUGAGAGGAUGAUCAGCCACACUGGAACUGAGACACGGUCCAGACUCCUACGGGAGGCAGCAGUGGGGAAUAUUGCACAAUGGGCGCAAGCCUGAUGCAGCCAUGCCGCGUGUAUGAAGAAGGCCUUCGGGUUGUAAAGUACUUUCAGCAGUGAGGAAGGUGGUAGUGUUAAUAGCACUAUCAUUUGACGUUAGCUGCAGAAGAAGCACCGGCUAACUCCGUGCCAGCAGCCGCGGUAAUACGGAGGGUGCGAGCGUUAAUCGGAAUUACUGGGCGUAAAGCGCAUGCAGGUGGUUUGUUAAGUCAGAUGUGAAAGCCCGGGGCUCAACCUCGGAAUUGCAUUUGAAACUGGCAGACUAGAGUACUGUAGAGGGGGGGUAGAAUUUCAGGUGUAGCCGGUGAAAUGCGUAGAGAUCUGAAGGAAUACCGGUGGCCAAGGCGGCCCCCUGGACAGAUACUGACAUU